AGCGGAGGAAUCGAUUCGAGGCACACCCUUGGUAAGGGUGAGGUCGGUGGUUCAAUCUCACUCGGGAGCACCA
rnacentral:tRNA from 1 species